AAAGGGAGACCUAAUUCGGGUAUAAGACGAAAAAAAAGUAGUCCCUACCAAGAAUCAAUCCCAAAAGGUCGGAACGAGGUAUGAGGCUUUCAAACUAGGUUCUGGGUUCAUAAAAGACCUGAAUCAGGAACAAGGGCUAUUAGCUCAGGUGGUUAGAGCGCACCCCUGAUAAGGGUGAGGUCCCUGGUUCGAGUCCAGGAUGGCCCACCUGCACAGGUGGCAAAAACAAAGAAGCGAGGAAUCAGCACCUUAUCUUACUUAUAUAGUAAGAGAGAAUGCUGGCUCUGAGUAAAGAGUCCAGAGGAACCUUGAAAACUGCAUAGAGCUAGGUGAAAAAGCCAAAAAAGAAGACCGCAAG
rnacentral:tRNA from 1 species